UCCCUCCCCUCCCUUCCCUUUUUGUGCGGCGCCGGGCAUCUGAAACCCUAGGUCUGACGAUUCAGUUUCGCCGCGGAGCGAGACACGAAGACCCAGCUUGCGCCUCAAAAAAACUUUAUGGUUAAUGAAGGUUGAAUGACGUUUAGGAUUUUCGUGUUGGUUGAUUGCAAAUUAGGUAGUUAUGGUGAGCUGUUCGACUUCUUUGAACGUGAACGCUUCACUAGGUAUUAUAAUGUGUAAGUAUACUGAGUUCUUCUUUAGAGACCUCCAUAAAGAAUCUGGCAUGAUGUCUAUUGUUAGUAUCUGAAACAAGUACUAGUACUGGCAGAUUAUUCAGUGCAUUAAAUCAACUGCGUUUAGAGGUCUGUAUUAACCUUGUUUCAGCGCAUUAAAUUAACGGCGCUCACCUUAUUUGGAUUAGGAUCAGAAGCAGUUCAGUGCUCAUAUACUAUGCUGAACCCACCAUUCAUUUUUCUUAUAAAACUUUUUAUACAAGUUUGCAUUGCCUUUGGGUUUUGUAUAUGGACAAUAGGAUAUGGAAAACCAUUAAACUUUCCUACUGAUUCUGAUGCCCAUGUGGCUGCUUCUAUGGUGGUUUCCUGUAAAGCUGUCUAGAUUGUCAAGUCCUGCAUAACAUAAUUGAACUAAGAAAUGAGCUUAUGCGGUCAUAUAAUUUGGAGUCUCCUGCCAAAAUUAUCAUGUUUCUGUAUGCCUGAUCUAAAAAGGAUAUCGAAACAGUUGCUUAUUACACCUGUUUGGAGUACUGUCCGACAAACUUGUUCUUGGUUAGCAUUUAUCGAAGUUGAUGUUUGAACUUACAGGGGAAAAAAGGGUCAUGAGCCCAGCCUUGACAUAAAACUUGUAUAUGUGAUCUGCUGAUGAGUAGUUCUGUUGCUAUGAAGAUGCUAAAACGUAGAAGAAGCUUGAAGAGGAAUGAAAGUGUCGAUGAUCUCACAAGAAGUUCAAAGAAGAAUAAAAGAACUUAUCUGACAAGAACCUCAACAAAGAACAAAAUAAUUCGCAAUGAAGGAGAGACAACUGAGUUACUGAUUUCAGGUGACUUGCAUCUGGAAUCAAAUCGUCUGGAGCGAGCUCAGUGAACAAGUUGUAUCAAAGUUGUCUAAAAGUGUUGUCUCGCUUUCUCUAUCCAAUGGACGCAUGGUGUUAUUUACAUGCUCGGGCAUAGCUGUACAACGCGAGAGGAAUAUUACAAGGUUUGUGACUUCAGCAAGCUUGGUUAAAGCUUUAUUUAAAGAAAAAAAAUACCACGAUAACUUAAAGGUCAAAGUAUGCCAUAAAGACAGUGUCGUUAUAGGGUUCUUGGGAGAAUAUGAUCUAGAUUGCAAUUUUGCUGUUGUCAACGCCAAGAACUUCCUGGAUCUUGAAACCGUAGGUUUCAGAUAUCUGUUGGAAUUUCCACCUGAUGGUAAUGUGGUAUCUGUAGGGCAUGAAAUCUCUGGCAACUUAAGAGCAUCUCCAGCAAGGCCAACAAACAGAGACCCUAUUCACAUUUUAGAAGCCAGAGCUAAAAAAUGAAGUCCAGCAGGGGUCGUAUCCUACCUCCUAAAAUGUGCAGAUCGCUAUCUUAGCCUCCCGAGCACAAGUGGGAUACUAAAGUGUGAUUUAAGCAGAUCUGUCCCAUCACUUGUGAGAACAACUUGUAAAAUCUCUAAGGUUUGUGAAGGUGGGGCAGUUUUUUAUUAUGAUGGAAACUUUCUUGGCAUGAAUCUUGUUUUCAGUACCGAAGGAACCUUGUUCAUGCCAGAGUACAGACUUCAUGAAAAGUUGUUUCAUUUCUGUACACCCGUGGAAGAGAUUAGAUUUCCUAAGAAAGUCAGGGUUGAAGAAAGUUCCAAUGGUGAGAUGCCUAACUCUCAUCAAGAAGGUGAGCGUAUAGAGGCUUUAAAUAUCUAGGUCAUCAAGAUGUGCUUAACGAGGAUCGAUUUAGGGAUCUAGAAUCCUUGGGCUAUCCUGAACCACCGAAAUCAAUGUUAAAUGGUGAGUCAAUGCCUUUAAAUAUUGUGACUUUUCAUGCAUUUUGUUUUCUACAGCUUUGCUGUCUUCCACUUACUAGUAAUGUACCUUGCAUCUUCAACCAGAUGGCACUAUUUUUGCUGAUGAAGAUGGCACUAUUUUGGCUAAUGAAGAUGCCAUUAUUUUGGCUAAUAAUUUUGAAGAACCUUUUGGCGACAUAUGUGGUAGAGGUGUCUGGAAUGAACUAAGUGAAACAGUUGCCUUUAGCAUACAUGACAAUAUCGUUGCACUUGCUUCAUUCCAUGGAGAAAAAAGGUUUUUUUGCAUGCACAGGUUUUUUAAUUGAAUGGAAUGGGUGUACCACUAUUCUGACUGCAGCGAGUUUGAUUAGAGAUUCUUUAAAUCUUAAAGACAAGAUGUCAGGGCGUUGUCCUCUCAAGGCGUAGGAGUGGGACACCGGAGGCUGGGGACGAGGAUCCCGGCGGCGGCGCGGAGCGGACGCCGUCCUGACGGCCGGCGACUGUGCGGACGUAACUGCAGAGGAGCGUGGGGAAGAUGCAGGGGAAACAGAGGGAGAUGCAGGGGGCGCCUGAGAUCUUGAGCUGCUGUGUGCGCCAGUUCUAGUACUGUAGGUAAGCAAGCUGACUGUGGGUGAACAUAUACCCGUGAUCCUUUGAGAAUUAGGCCCUGAUCAGAGUGCCAACUAUCACCACGAAGUUCUGUAAUGUUAUCUCUGAGAGUUUGGAGAUGUGGGCUCUCAUUUAAUUCAGUGCGAAGUUCCUCAAAUAACUGAUAAGAAGGGCUGGACAGCACGCAUAGUUGCUGAUCAUGUUGCCUGGAGAGUGCAUCAGCCACUAUGUUGAGGUGCCCCGGUCUAUAUUCGACAGAGAAAUCGAAGCCAAAUAGCUUGCUGAUCCACUGAUGUUGAGGGACAGUUGAUAGACAUUGGUCUAGCAUAAAUUUGAGUGCAUAAUGAUCUGUCCUGAUAAUGAAUUUGCGUCCCCACAAAUAUGGCCUCCAGUGGCGUACUGCUUGAACAAGUCCUAUUAGUUCCCGUUCAUAUGCUGCUAUUUUGAGGUGGCGAACUGCAAAUGGUCUGCUAUAAAAUGCCAAUGGCCCUUCAUUUUGGUGAAGGACAGCACCGAAGCCCGACCCCGAUGCAUCACAGUCGACCACAAAUGGUUUGGAGAAAUUGGGAAGGUGGAGAACAGGUGCUGAUGACAAUGCAUUCUUGAGAUUUUGAAAUGAGUUGGCUGCUGUGUCAGACCAUAUAAAUCCAUUCUUUUUUAGCAGGUUUGUGAGAGGAGCAGCUAUGAUGCCAUAAUUUUUGAUGAAGCGGCGAUAGUAGCCAGCAAGGCCUAGAAAUCCUCUCAGUGCUCUUGCAGAAGUGGGUUGGGGCCAGGACUGAACUGCUUUAACCUUGUCAACAUCCAUUGCAACACCGUAUGCAGAAAUUUCAUGGCCCAGGUAGUGGACAGAUGAAGUAGCAAAGGAACACUUGGACCUUUUGACUUGUAAUUUGUGCUCACGUAAGACAGAGAACACAGCCCGCAGGUGCAUCAAAUGUUCAGACCAAGAACUGCUGUAGAUUAAUAUGUCAUCGAAGAAAACCAACACACACUUGCGGAGGAAUUGGUGCAAAACUGAGUUCAUAUGACUUUGAAAGGUGGCUGGUGCAUUUGUUAGACCAAAGGGCAUUACCAAGAAUUCAAAAUGGCCAUGGUGAGUGCGAAACGCAGUCUUGGCAAUAUCAUCAGGAUGUACACGUACUUGAUGGUACCCUGCCCGAAGAUCUAACUUUGUAAAGAAGCGGGCUCCUUGUAAUUCAUCAAUUAAAUCUUCUACAAUGGGUAUGGGAAACUUAUCCUUGACUGUUUUUUCAUUCAGAGCUCUAUAAUCCACGCAAAAGCGCCAUGUGCCAUCUUGUUUCUUCACCAAUAGUACAGGAGCCGAGAAGGGACAAUUGCUGGGCCGAAUGAUCCCCUGUUCAAGCAUUGUGUUACACUGCUGCUCUAAUUCAUGUUUUUGAAGAUGUGGGUAGCGAUAGGGUCUGACGGCCACUGGUGCAGUGUUUGGAAGAAGAUGGAUGCGGUGAUCACAUUCUCGGGCUGGUGGUAAACCAGUAGGCAGCU